rnacentral:misc_RNA from 1 species
GCAUACCUCUUCAUUUAUGCGUCAUGACUUGUAUCGUCUUGAGCGUAUUGUGGGUUUCCUGUGUUGCAUACCUUACCAAUGGUAUCGUUUUGAUUGAUCGAAGUCCCUUUUCAUCUUGGGUUGCCUUUGCGACGCAUGAUGAACCUUGAAGCGGUCUCUAUGUUCCACCAUGUUGAUGCUAGUGUUUCGAUGUUGUGGCCCAUUGAGUGUUGCUUGGUUUCGUGGAUACAGAACAUGAUUUAGGCAUAGGGUCACUCGUGACUCUUGUUUUGUCCUUUACCAGUGUUCUUUAUAACGACGGUUCAUUCGCGCCUAGGCUCGUACCUGCGUGAUGUUCUUUGUCGAAGAGGAAUGCUACCUGGUUGAUCCUGCCAGUAGUCAUAUGCUUGUCUCAAAGAUUAAGCCA